GAUGAAGAACGCAGCGAAAUGCGAUAAGUAGUGUGAAUUGCAGAAUUCAGUGAAUCAUCUAAUCUUUGAACGCACAUUGCGCCCCUUGGUAUCCCGAGGGGCAUGCCUGUUCGAGCGUCAUUUCACCACUCAAGCCUGGCUUGGUGUUGGGCGACGUCCCCUUUGGGGACGCGCCUCGAAACGCUCGGCGGCGUGGCACCGGCUUUAAGCGUAGCAGAAUCUUUCGCUUUGGAAGUCGGGGCCCCGUCUGCCGGAAGACCUACUCGCAAGGUUGACCUCGGAUCAGGCAGGGAUACCCGCUGAACUUAAGCAUAUCAAUAAGCGGAGGA
rnacentral:misc_RNA from 1 species